UCCUACGGGACGCAGCAGUGGGGGAUAUUGCACAAUGGGGGAAACCCUGAUGCAGCGACGCCGCGUGGGCGAAGAAGUAUUUCGGUAUGUAAAGCCCUAUCAGCAGGGAAGAAGAAAUGACGGUACCUGAGUAAGAAGCCCCGGCUAACUACGUGCCAGCAGCCGCGGUAAUACGUAGGGGGCAAGCGUUAUCCGGAUUUACUGGGUGUAAAGGGAGCGUAGACGGCGGCGCAAGUCCGGAGUGAAAGCCCACGGCCCAACCGUGGGACUGCUCUGGAAACUGUGCGGCUUGAGUGCGGGAGGGG
rnacentral:rRNA from 1 species